rnacentral:rRNA from 1 species
GAUGAACGCUGGCGGCGUGCUUAACACAUGCAAGUCGAACGGAAAGGCUCUUGCUUGCUGGGGUUCUCGAGUGGCGAACGGGUGAGUAACACGUGGGUGAUCUGCUCUGCACUUCGGGAUAAGCCUGGGCAACUGGGUCUAAUACCGGAUCGGACGAUGGUUUGGAUGCAAUUGUGGACAGUUUUUUCGGUGUGGGAUGAGCUGGCGGCCUAUCAGCUUGUUGGUGGGGUAUUGGCCUACCAAGUCGUCGACGGGUAGCCGGCCUGAGAAGGGGUACGGCGACAAUGGGACUAAGGGACGGCGCAGUGUCCUACGGUGGGCAACGGUGGGGAAUAUUGUACAGUGGUAGCAAGCCUGAUGCAGCGGCGCCGCGUGGGUAAUGACGGCCUUCUGGUUAAAAACAGCUUUCGCUAAGGACGAAGCGGAAGUGACGGUACCUGGAGAAGAAGCACCGGCUAACUUCGUG